GGAUGUGAGGGUGAUCUGGCGGUGACAUCUGUCACCCCAUUGAUCUCCAGGGUUGAUUCAGCUGAUGUAAGUGACUAGGCAGGUGUCCCCUCUCUCUCUUAUCCCUCCUGAAGCUGUGCACUCCGUCAAAGAGAACAACCUUCCCCGAAGAAGAGGACCAUUCUUCUGACCAA
rnacentral:snRNA from 1 species